AUCCUUUUGUGGUGCAUGAGCAUGAGGAUCGGGUGUUCACACUAUUGUGUGAGGUGUGCCUUCUUCAAACCUGUUAUGACAUUGGCACGUUACUCAUCUGACA